GUCGUUGACCCCCAGAGGCGUAGUUGGAGGGGAGGAGACUUGAGACGGUCCAUUUGGGCUUCCGUUGCUGGACAUGGUGCUCCGACCAGACCAACUCCCUACCUGGGUCAGCGUUGAUUGAGGUGAGCCGGACAGUACCCAAGCCUUCUGCAAAACCAAAAUUAAAAAAAAAAGAAAAAAUACAACACAGGACCGAGAAAUCAGAACAUGAACAAACCUAAAUCACUUUUUAAGCCCAAGUGAAGGAAAAGAAAAAAAAAUAAACAAAUACCUCAUGAUUUUUCUGCGCAGGGGUGAUUUUGUGGGCUUCGUGGAGAGCUAACUGGCGAGUUAACUCAGUAAGCAGCAAGUCAUCCUCGUCGCUCUCGGUUUCGGUGGAGCCAACAACAGAUUCAACAGGGGAGCUGAGAACAGA
rnacentral:lncRNA from 1 species